rnacentral:lncRNA from 1 species
GUGAGAGAGUGCAGGUCCAUAAUGCUGUAUAACACUGAGUUGUACUUUUCCUGCAGAUUCACCCAGUUCUGAAUAGCUCCAAGGUAGUUACCAAGAUGAGGCAUCCCAGUUGGCUGGAUACCAGAGAAAAUCCGAUCUGUUACCAUAUUCUGUGUGAGGGUCCCGCGGUGCAGGGCCCGGAUCAUGCCGCCCGGUGUCGCCACGGCGAAGGCGGGAAAGGACGGGGAUGAAUCGGGCCAGAAGCGCGGAAACGUCGGCGCAUGCGCAUGAGGUCUUAAUGUGGUGCUUGUGCAGAGUACGCAUGCGCAGUCCCGGAGGGGCAGUGUGUGGGCAGGGCCGCAGGAGGGGCGGUGGCGGGGCCCUGCAGGCGAAUUAAUAGCGAUUUUACGUUUUAAAGCGGUAUCUUUUUACGGUGACACUGGAUCGUAACGGACGUUUAUUUCCUGAUAUGGUACUACAGCAUAAAAUGUCAAAAAUCUGCUUUGCAAGUAUGUAAUUACUAAGGAGAAAGCUUUGCAACAACUCCUAAAUAGAAAUGCUAUGAUGUUACAUCAACCAGUAUACCAGAUCUUGGUUUCAGGCAAAGUGAUGAAGAAAAAAGCUCUGUGAGACUCAGUGAUAACAGGCUAAAGAAUGAAGGUACAGGUCAUAGGUAUGAAGUAUUAAUGUCCCUUUUCAGGGUCAUUAGAAUUGGAGUUAAUAUGUAUAGUUGUACAAAGGCAAUACUUGUUAGGCUUUUUUAGUAUCUUUGAAUUAGUACCACAGAGCAUUCUAAUUAAACUUACCAGAGAAGCACACAUUUAACAUACUAAGGGCUGAUUUGUUGACAGCUUCCCAAAAGUACUUGUCAAAUUUGAACUGGGAGACGCUUUGGUGGACUUCUAUGGUAUUCUUCGACAGUAAUCCUUGUUUUACCCUGCUCAGUAGGGUCACCAGCCGUCUAGAAUAUACUGAAUAAUUCAUAUUUGGAAUCUGCCCUUGACACAAGUGCUUGUAAGUAACAGCAGAAACUUGGCCAUCACUCAAUUUAUUCUCAUAAUUAGAAUAUGUUAAAAUAUAUUUUAAAAACCUGAAACUGGAAUCAAAAGAUUCAAGAGGUGACUUAGGGGUACGCCUGAGCAAUCGGUGAAAAUGCGUGAUAGUGCUAUCAGCAGAACACAGAGUCUGCAUUUUUUGGAGGGAGGGGUAAAGUGGUGCGUGGGUAGAAAGACCUCCAUAGUAAGGCUGUAGGCAUAAAGCUUUUAAGAGGCAGUGCUUUACACAGGAUUCAGCCUUGGUUGGUCUACAGUGUUAAUAGUACUUAUAAACUUAGGGAUAUGUGUAGUCCCUCUAAGGUUUUUGUCCACAGCCUCCUUGUCUUGCUUAAUGUAGAAAUGAGAAGUUGUUUGGUGGUAGUGGCAGCUGACUGUAAAAGGGAAGAAUGAUUAAAGGAAGUGAAUACAUUUCAAAAAUCUAAAUUUAUUCCCUGCCACUUGUCCUAAAGUUCUUGUGUGAUGCUAGGUGAAUUGUACUUUGCUAUUGUAUUUCUCUGGUACUGUCUAAAAUGGGGCAUGUUUGCAACAUACCUUGUUCAAGCGUGUAUAAAUGAUACAUGAGAUUGCAGAAAUUGCUGUAUGCAAAAUUGUGCAUUGCAUAAUGUGAUUUGCAUUCUUUUUUUUUUUUUUUUAAUGAAGGAUGCUAGAAAGAUAUGUCAUGAACAAAAAAAGCAAGAAAAGGACAUUUUGGCAAACCUGAAAUGACAGAGACAAGAGACCAGAUAGGGUGGAAUCCAAAGAAUACAGAAUCAGUUGGAACAGGCAAAUAAAAAGCAGCAACUGCUUUUUUUUUUAACUCCUUGUUAAAAAUAACACGGAGUCCAGUCCCACCAUUCACAUUUCUAUUAAAAAAAAAAAAAAAAAAAGCAAAAGAAACCCUUCAUUUCAGACAUGUAGGUUGGUGUGGUUUAAAAGCACAUCUUUGAAAUUUUGGAAAGCAUCAAUGAACCUAUUACUCUUACCUUUUUCAUUUUACAUACGCUAUAGAAGAGUCUGUCCAUUUUUCUAAAUCUGCCCGCUUAACAAAGCUUUAGCUGGACAGCCAUUUGAAUGUGCAGAAGAUCUGGCAGAGAGAAUGAAGAGAUAUUAUCCUUUGUGUGCUGAAUCUGCUGAUAGUAUCGUAACAUCGCAGAGAACUAUUUUCUGUGAAAUUCAUGGAAAAACAUUGUACUGGCAGCCACUCGGAAGCAAAAACACCUAGAAUCUUCUGAAAUCUGUAAACCUUUUCUCCCUGUGAUAUAUUGGGAAAAAGAAAUCUUUCCUACAUGUUCUUUUGUAUUAUCGUCAGUUAUGGUGGCUGUGUUCUUUACAUUCAUUUUGAAUCUGUGUUUCCUGUCAUGAGCAGAUUAAAAACAGAAGAGAGCAGAGUGAAAGUUUUCUAUUGCAAACAUCUGUGUCUGAAAAAGGAUUGUAUUUCCAUGUCCUGGAACAUCAAGGGGAAAAGCUUGCCCUCCCCAGACACACACCUUUAGUUUGCAGCAAUAAGGAGUUUAUAGAGAAGGUUGGUUUACUACAGUAAAUAGAAAACCCAAAUCUGCUAUUGUUUCUGCUGUUUAAUCCAGCCUGGAUGUCUGAGGAGACCUUCAGUCAUUGUUCCCAGCAGAGAUCUGUCUUAUUUUACAUCUGAGAGAAUAACUGAAUGCUUAGCAUAUUUUAAUAUAAGCAGUGCUUUUAAUAACUCAUAUCUUCUGAAUGUGGUACUCAGUUUUGUAUGCAAAUAUUGCUUGUCUAGAUAGUAUUCUUAGGAACUGUUAUCAGAAAUGGAAAAUAAAUGUUCUUGUCCUCUAUAAAUUAAAUUAAAUCCACAGAAGGAAAAAAAGUCUGUCAGCGAACUUCACAAAGAAAAAACUAGUGUUAAUGUAUCAUCCAUAUCUGUCUGCUUUGAAAGAACACAAGACUAGAAAAGAUGUUGCAAGAUCCACAGGGGGCCAGAUAUACAGUACGCUCUCAUAUUACCUGAUAUUCCUACAGGAAUUUAGUGCUGGAAAAAAAAAAAAAAAGGAAAUUUAUUGGUUUAGAUGGUGCCACAAGACCUUUCUAUUUCAUACAUAAAUGCUCUCCUGUCAGAACCUUUGUAUACCAAUAUUCAUUCAAUGCAAAUACUACCCAGAUAAUAUUUUACUAGAUAAUUUUACUAGUAGAUUACCUAAUAUACUAGGGUAGAAUAUUUUACUACCUUACCCCAUUGUACUCAGAGAACUGGUAAAUUGUAUGCAAAACUGUAACAAACCUGGGAAACAGUUUAAUAAAGUCAUUCACUGAAAUAGUUAUUUAGUCAUAAUCUUGUUAGGCCCUGUGGAGAUUUUGCUGGUAAGAAGUAGGACUUCCUCAUUUCUGAAGUAGAAACAUCUCUUCAUGGACUGGUGUUUUACUUUGGGUAAUGUUAUUGGUCUUCCCUCUCCUGACCACUUCCUGAAUCUGCCAGACCUUCUUCAGGUGGACCCAGCUGAUGGUGAUUGAGAGUUUCAUAGUUGUGAAUAUACUGAAAGACUCUUAAGACUGCAACUAUUAUUACUAGAAUUAAUAGAGAAAUUAAACAUACUUAAAGGCUUUAAACCAACAUGGCAAAGUUAGCUAAUCAUCUGUUAAAAAAGAAUCUUUUAAUUAGUCAGCCUUGGAAACUGUAGAAUUGGGAUGGAAUUCACACAGUCUGAAGCUCUCCUUUGUAACUCUGCUUCUUCAGAUAAGAAAAUCUCCAAGCUGCUAUUUUAACAAUGGCAACUAGCAUGCUUUCUCUAGAGCAUAUAUUAGUGUAAUUUUCCUGUGUCUUAGUAUGUCUAUCCAAAAGUUUCAUGAGAUGCUACAAAGAAAAUGAAAUUAGUCUCUUAAUCUGAUUCUGGAAAAAGGAUAUUGGGAGAGUAGGAUAUGAAGAGAUCUGAUUGCCCAAUUCACAUUUAAAUCAGGGGUCAUUAGGCGUCAGAUACUUCUAAAAAGUCAUUGAUGUGAAACUUACCAUAUGUUUUUAUAAAUUGCUUCCAUUUCUAAAAAUUAUGCCCCAUUUCCAACAAUCUGAAUUGGUGUGAUUUCACUUUUCAAUUUUAGAUUGUAGAACUUUGUUGCUUUUUAAGCUAAAAUGCUUUUUACUUUCAGAAAUCCUCUCCCAUUGUAAUUAAAGAAUAUCUUUUUUUCUUCAGCAAGUAGCAUAGACUAUUUUUUUCAUAACUGUCAUCAUAAAAUAGGCAUUACAUAUUUUAAGUUAUUUGUACCUCCCUGAUCUUCACAGUUUUUCAACCUCUUCUGUUCACAUUAAGUACCAAAAUGUGCCACGAUACUAUUGCAAUACUCAGUAUAAUUUGCCUGCUUCCAACGAUCUGCAUUGGAAAAAAACUCAAAACAAAAACAACAACAAAAAAGAGGUGUUGCUAAGAAAGUUUGCAGCUAAGGCACAGAUUGCUGCAAUGAUAAGUAACAUGUAUAUACCUUCAGAAUAGUGUUGCCUGCUGCACUACACUGAGAGCUCAAGUUCUUCCUGCAUGUCUACCACCUUCUCUGCUAGUGGUUUCCACAGUACUCCAACCUGUAAGUGACUUCUUUGUUUUCAGGUGUGUGACCUGCACAUGAUGUUCAGACACAUCACACUUCUUGAUAGUUCCCUUUCUUACAUAAGAAUCCAUCUGUGUAUAGCUGGCUGUUUCUCAGUACAGUUUAUCAUUCCACUGAGCUGUGCAUCAUCUGCAAACUUUGCUAGCUUUGCUCUCAUUAUUUCUUCUAUGUUGUUAAUAAAAAUACUAAUUACUUAACUAAGAGACUUGACACCUGUUGAACUGGUGGUGAUUUAACAUCCAUUUAAUGUACUGCUCAAUAUACACUUCACUGAUUAUUUUAUGUCAAUCUUAAAAAUUAGACUGUGGUGAGAUACAAAAUGUAGAUGUGGCAUAGCCAAGUGUAUUUUGAGAUGCUAAAAAGACUGAAGUACAUAAAAGACAAAGUUGUUACAUUAUCUCUGAACAACAAAUAAAUUCAACUGGGUAACAUCAAAUAAUAUCCCCAGAAAAAGAUUUUCAAGAUUACUUUUAAAAAUAUAUAUUUUCUAUUUUAUUAUUUAUACAGACAUCUAUGGUUAUGCACUGACUAUUUUGCUUCUGCCUGGGGAAUACAGAAAACCUAUGGUUUUUGAGAUAGUUCCACAGGAAUUACAGCUGCUUUGUUUCACCAGAGCAAGAAAAAAAAUACUGAGAUAGAUAGACACUCAGACAGACAGAUAGAUGAUGGAUAUAGAUAGACAGAUAGACAGACAGACCCUAGCACUCCUUUCUUUCUGCACACUGAAUCCCAGAUGUUUUGUUACCUCCACUGCUGAGGGAGGAAGGUAGCACAACCAAGCAGCCUUAUUCCAUGUCCCUUGUUUUUCUGUACUCUUUGUGAUAGUGGCAGUGGCUGUUCAAGUUCCUCACACAUUUUCCCUGAGCCCCCUGCUUCAGCUGUUCACCAUUUCUCCAUUGCUGAGUUGAAGUGACAUUGUCCCUCCUCCUCUGAGCAGGAAAAUAGUAUUUUGCCUACAAUGGUGUGUGCCUGGAGCCAUCCUUCAGCACGUGCCCAUUUUUCCUCUCCAUCUUUCCUCCAAGGAUGGUACUCCUGGUCUCCCAUUCACUGUGGCAAACAAGCAUGCUGCCACCCACCUACCACUCAGCUUCUCCAUAGAGAGUCUGGCACAAUAGGCUGUUUCCUCACAGAUGCUUAUUAUGAAUGGCCACACUCACUGUUAUUUUUGUUGUUGUUGUUUUUUCCACAUGCAGAAUUGUUUUUAGGCUGCCCAACAUCAUUCAUUGUUCUCCGUGAAACAAAAACUGCCAUUGCCCUUGGGGGAGGUGGCGACUGGCUAUACUGUGAGGCUUCAUAAAACACAGACCUUGUUGAGAACAAUGGGAAAAGGCUUUCUCAGCGCGGCCACCAGCCGAGGCUCGCUGCUGCUUGCCGCCGGUCCACAGCACUGGGGAGUGGCAGCCAUGUUGAGGGAGGGCCUUGGCCUCACAACAGCCUCAAGGCCCUGCUGGGAGGGAAAAUGAGAUUACACACCGUGGAAGAAAAAAAGCAUAGCAUUGUGAUUCACAAAAACAGGCAAGAUGCUAUUUAGCAGAAGUUCAAAGUGUUAAAGUCAUUAAAAUCACAGUAGCAUACUCAAACUGCAAUCUGUUAAGAUCCCACCUACAUAAGCAUCUAUUUCUCCCUAGUUUCAUACCUAUAAUUUUAUAGGACGAGUAGUCAUUCUCUUCCAUUACUCUUCAUAGCAGGAAAUUUCCUCUUGAACACAAGACUUAACACUGCUAUAGUUACACUGAAGACCUUUAUGCACUUAAGACCUAUGGCUAUUUCAGUUGUUUUGUAUUUAAACUGAUAAAGGUUAUAUUUAAAGAUUCAGCAUAUAUGCUCUCCUUUUCAGAGUAGAGACUGUUAUUACUUAGAACAAGUUAUUCAUCUAGAAUGAUGAAGCCACAUUCUCAACUGAAACACUGAGGUAUACUAGUGUAACACACCUCACAGCGUGUUGCUGGGAGCUGAGCUUCCUGAAUUAGGACCAGCCAUCGACCCCAGAGAGGUUGCUAGGUGCGCUUACUGCCUUACAUGCCAGCUAGAUGAGGGAACAAGCAGGUGUCCCUGUGUUUAGUGGUAACUUAAACUGUGGAGGCCGUGCCCAAAGUAAACACUGAAUUAAUAAUUAGAGUGACUAAAACAGUGAAAAGCAGGAGAAAACUGGGAGCAAAACAAAAAUCAUGAUACAAGAUAUGAAUACACAAUGGCCUUGAAAGAAAGCCAGAGGUGGGAGCAUUUAGUGCAACAUGCAGACUGCAAGCAGAACUGGAUCAUGAGCAAAACAAUGGAUUCUUAUUCCAUCUUACUAUAUUUGAAGAAGUGGGACUUUGUAGUAAAACAGGAUUACUUCAAAGAAAUACCUGGCUCUUGUAAUCAAUUCCUCAUUCUAAUGGAAACAGCCUGCUAUGUUUGGAGCGCUGAGCUGACUGCUCAGGCCAUGAUGAAGUUGGACAAUGAGAACAGAGAACAAUGAGGAAAAACAGAGAGGGAGAAUGGAGAGAGAUUUUGGAAAAAGACAUGGCAAAAUGGAAGAAAAAUGAAAACUUGGAGGAAAUAAAUCUCUCAGAUAAAGCACAGAGAGAUAAAAAGUAUGUUUCAAGUAUGUAUUCUUCAGUGUGAUAGUCAGCUGGGAGAUGCUUGUGGCUCUGGAAGAGAGUAAUCCCAAAGGUAUACCCUUGUUUGAAUUUCUGAUGAAAUGGAAGACCCUGUCCCUCCUGUACCAUUGCCAUUUCAAAAAAUUAGCCCUCUCAGGCAGACAGCAAGGCAUCAUGAUGGAGGGUUAAAACACAUGAAGCUGCUGCCCAUUUGGAACACACUCCGUCUCCUUUCACAUCUGCAGAGCAUUUAGCUACUUGCAUCUGGUUGUGUUUGUGCAAAUAUAAUUCCAUAUUCACUAAUAAUUCCCGAGGCUAAAGGCCCCUCUCCUGUAACCUUGUUAAUAUUCUCACAAGGCCUGGUGUGAACGCCUCACAGCAUUUGGAUUAGAAUUCAGUCUGGUGGUUUUUUUUCCUCCCCCUGUCUCUUACCCUUCUCUCUCUCAUACUUUUCUGGCCUCCAGUUUCCUGGCCACCCACAUGACGAGACACUCUCCCUCCCUCUCUCUCCCCAUUCUCAGUUUCAAGGAAUUUCCUUUUGUCAAAGGCAAAGUGUGAUUGACAUAUUUUCCCCCUCUUAAGUGCAGUCUUCUUAAUACUUGAUUUAACUAUGUCCUUAUGGGGCUCGUAUAAUCAUUACCUAGGUGAGAAAGAGACCCCCUGCUCCCUCUCCACCAUCCGAUCUUGGUCUUCAAGCUCCAGAUUGCUGGCUACUUAGCACUCCUUACAUGUUUUUUAUUCACUUUUAAAUACAUUUUUAUUCAUUUGGUGUUGAUGUUUGAAGACUCCAGGUUGACAGCCUUGGAAACUGAGGUCAUUUGUUUGUCCACAAAACAGGUACCACCAAAGCAGUAGAUCUACCAGCUCCCCUGUAAAGUGCUUUGGGCUCCCCUUUCAAAGCACCUUACUUAUCCUGGGUUGUAUCAAAAGUAGCAUAGUCAGCAGGUUGAGGGAGGUGUUCCUGCCCCUCUGCUCUGAGCUGGUGAGACCUCAGCUGGAGUACUAUGACCAAAUGUGAAGUAUUCAGUACGAGAGAGAAAUAAACCUGUUUGAGCAUGUCUAGAGGAGGGCCACAAAAAUGAUCCAAGGCACAGAGCGCUAUCAAUAUCUAAACAGGGCUACAAGACAGAAAGGGACAGACUCUUCAGCAGGGCCUGCUGUGGUAGGACAAAGGGAAAUGAUUUCAAACUAAAAGAGGGGAGAUUCAGACUGGACAUAAGAAAAAAGUUUUUUACAAUAAGGGUAGUGAAUCACUGGAAGAGGAUACUCAGAGAGGUGGUGGAUGCCCCGUCUCCCUGGCCAUCCAAGGUUGGUCUGAAUGGAGCUCCUUUGACUGUUUUUAUCCAUGUCAUGUAAAAUGGGACAAGAAGGUGUCCUGGAAAAAAAUCUGCAUUUAUACUGACUGCAGGCUGGCUGUGGGAACUCAGUGGAAGAGCUUGCUCAGAGCCAAACAUUUUCAGUGUGACAUAAGGAGAAUUAUUCAAGAGGUUUUUUUACUAAAUAUUUGCAAGAUCUUUCUUGUACCUUUUAGUCAUUAUAGUAGGAAAACAGAGUUUUGUUUUCCAUUUAGCAGAAAUAAAAUGUUUUGAGGAAACUGUUACAUAAAAGUAAAUGUUUAUAAUUAAGUAUGUUGAGAAUUUGUGUGACAUCAUUAUAAUAGCUUGGUUUCGGUUAAGUUUGAACUUUGUUACAUUUGAAAUAACUAGACUGAAAUUCCCCAUGUAGGGGAUUCAUGUCUCUUCCUUGCAUCCUUCUUUUUCCCUUCCUUUGAGAAAGGGAAGAAGAAAAAUUAAUCAAGUUUUCAGAGGAAAAUUUGGGAGACUUUAUUCUCAUGUACAAAAUAAAAAACCUGGAGGGGAUAUUAAAAAGAAUUUGUAAUCCCUACCUAAUUUUGAUGAAAGAUACGGUUUUUGAUCAGCUGUUGGGGCGGGGAUCCCUCUGAUGUCAGGAAUGUGUGCUUGCUUAUUUCUGUGAAAAUUUCCCCACAUUUACUCAAAUCGUGAGCCUCAGAAAGACUCACUUUGCACCAAGAUGUUAGAAAUGCACAUUCCCUGAAGGAUGGCUUUGUAUUCUCAAACCCAGGAGUGACAUGCAAUCAUUUCUCCUACCGGAACAGUGGAGUACGUAGUCUGGCCUUGCUGUCUCAGGUCACAGGAGAUGAACAGCACUGCUGCAUCUGCUCUGUUUUCAGUGUUCAUCUGAAAGAGCAUGGGAGAAGACUGCUGAGGUAAGGAGCUGGGACUAAAGUACUGGGAAAAAGGACAUUGGGACAGUCCUGUAUUCAAGGAAGGGCUUAUGGAUAGGACUGGAAACAUGACAGAGGAGAGGUGUGGACCUCAGAUUCUUAUUACCUAAAAUAGAGCACGCUGUAGGUAAUUCAAGUUGGCAGUUUCAAAAUGGAAUAUUACAGGAAAAUAAUCCACAGAAAAUUAGUGACGCAGGCUUCAGAGCAGAGCUUGGUUGAUGUGCAGUAAGAUGUGAACCACCUACAGGUAUAAAAAAUGAUCGCAAAUGUAAUCUGCAGCAUUGAUCCAGUGGAAAACUGUUAUGUGAAUAUGUGAUUAAAGACUGUAAGGUAGCUCAUAGGUAGGCCUGAAAUAAGGUCUGACUAGUUGCUGAUGAUCCUUAACAUCUGGAUGUUUCACUUUGCAAGUCAAUAUUUUCUUAACAUAGUAUUAUUUAUAGAAUACAUAGACCUGGGACAGCACAUAGGCCAGAACCAAUCCUGCUGUGAAGCAAGUUAGAUUCAGAAUCUCAUUAACGGCUAAAUGAAAUUAAUUAACAACUAUUUACCUUAGCUCUCUCCAAGCUAAGAGGAUUCAAAAGAACACAGCCUUUGCUGAGCCAGCAUCUGUGGAUGGUAUCGUGAGAUGGGGCCAAACUGUAAUGAUAGAAAAAACAUCCUUUCAUUCUUGUCUUCCUUUCUUCACACAAGCAUGUACAG